rnacentral:misc_RNA from 1 species
GAUGAAGAACGUAGCGAAACGCGAUAUGUAAUGUGAAUUGCAGAAUUCAGUGAAUCAUCGAAUCUUUGAACGCACAUGGCGCCUUCCAGUAUCCUGGGAGGCAUGCCUGUCCGAGCGUCGUUUCAACCCUCGAGCCCCCGUGGCCCGGCGUUGGGGAUCUGCCACGGCAGGCCCCUAAAACCAGUGGCGGACCCGAAGGCCCUCUCCUUUGCGCAGUAGCAUCAGCCUCGCAUUGGGAUCCCUCGGCGUCCUGCCUCUAAACCCCCCACAAGUCCGCUCCGGCGGCACCAAGGUUGACCUCGGAUCAGGUAGGAAUACCCGCUGAACUUAAGCAUAUCAAAAGCGGAGGA